CACGGGGGGAGCAAGCGUUGUCCGGAUUCAUUGGGCGUAAAGAGCGUGUAGGCGGCCAGGUAGGUCGGUUGUGAAAACUGGAGGCUCAACCUUCAGAGGUCGACCGAAACCAUCUGGCUAGAGUCCGGGAGAGGAGAGUGGAAUUCCUGGUGUAGCGGUGAAAUGCGCAGAUAUCAGGAAGAACACCCGUGGCGAAAGCGGCUCUCUGGAACGGUACUGACGCUGAGACGCGAAAGCGUGGGGAGCGAACAGG
rnacentral:rRNA from 1 species